CCUACGGGAGGCAGCAGUGGGGAAUAUUGGACAAUGGGCGAAAGCCUGAUCCAGCAAUGCCGCGUGAGUGAAGAAGGCCUUCGGGUUGUAAAGCUCUUUUACCCGGGAAGAUAAUGACUGUACCGGGAGAAUAAGCUCCGGCUAACUCCGUGCCAGCAGCCGCGGUAAUACGGAGGGAGCUAGCGUUGUUCGGAAUUACUGGGCGUAAAGCGUACGUAGGCGGCUUGGUAAGUCAGAGGUGAAAGCCCACGACUCAAUCGUGGAACUGCCUUUGAGACUGCUUCGCUUGAAGAUGGGAGAGGUUAGUGGAAUUCCGAGUGUAGAGGUGAAAUUCGUAGAUAUUCGGAAGAACACCAGUGGCGAAGGCGGCUAACUGGACCAUUCUUGACGCUGAGGUACGAAAGCGUGGGGAGCAAACAGGAUUAGAUACCCUGGUAGUCCACGCCGUAAACGAUGAUAGCUAGCUGUCGGGGCUCUUGGAGCUUCGGUGGCGCAGCUACGACAUUAAGUUAUCCGUCCGUGGGUAGGUACGGCCGCGAAGGUUAAACGUAACAAUAGAAGUUAGACGGCGUGAGACGUGCCGACGGACGACGACGAGGGAGUAGG
rnacentral:rRNA from 1 species